GCCCUUUUAGCUCAGUGGUUGAGCGUUGGCUUCGUAAGCCACAGGCCAAUGGCUCGAUGUCAUUAGGGCGCA
rnacentral:tRNA from 1 species